GAUGAACGCUGGCGGCGUGCCUAAUACAUGCAAGUCGAGCGAACGGACGAGAAGCUUGCUCCUCUGACGUUAGCGGCGGACGGGUGAGUAACACGUGGAUAACCUACCUAUAAGACUGGGAUAACUUCGGGAAACCGGAGCUAAUACCGGAUAAUAUUUUGAACCGCAUGGUUCAAUAGUGAAAGACGGUCUUGCUGUCACUUAUAGAUGGAUCCGCGCUGCAUUAGCUAGUUGGUAAGGUAACGGCUUACCAAGGCAACGAUGCGUAGCCGACCUGAGAGGGUGAUCGGCCACACUGGAACUGAGACACGGUCCAGACUCCUACGGGAGGCAGCAGUAGGGAAUCUUCCGCAAUGGGCGAAAGCCUGACGGAGCAACGCCGCGUGAGUGAUGAAGGUCUUCGGAUCGUAAAACUCUGUUAUUAGGGAAGAACAAAUGUGUAAGUAACUAUGCACGUCUUGACGGUACCUAAUCAGAAAGCCACGGCUAACUACGUG
rnacentral:rRNA from 1 species